GACACUAGUUCUUGGGUGUCCGAAAGCUAUGGCAAAAAGCCCCAUAUUGAACAUCUGGGUCAUUUUGACCGUAUUGGCCCUUCUGUCCACAGCUCCACAAGGAGUCGAUGCAGGCAGGCUUCCAAGAUCAGCUCCGGGAUCGUCAGGCGGGGGACCUCACAAGGUUCAGUUAACGCAAACUCCACGUACUCCUCCUCCAUGUAAUACAAGGCCAAUUCGCCGCCAAUAACACCUGGACAUGGGCAACAACGUUAACAGGAAUUUGGCUAUAAUCUCCGUCCAGCAAACUCCAACUGGAAAUGAAGAAAACCAGACCUGAAGAAACACGCCAUACACGCUACAGUAUAUACCAAGAAUGGCUCACACGCCUUGACACCAACCCCAGGAAAAGUACGCAUAAGUGCACCUAAUAGUGCCUAAGUAUGAGUUACUGCGUGCCAUCCCACUUUGUUUACAUUAUGUUGUAUGAAAUAAAAGUACCUCCAUAUUCUCACAAA